CCUACGGGAGGCAGCAGUAGGGAAUCUUCCGCAAUGGACGAAAGUCUGACGGAGCAACGCCGCGUGAACGAUGAAGGCCUUCGGGUCGUAAAGUUCUGUUGUUAGGGAAGAACAAGUGCUAGUUAAAUAAGCUGGCACCUUGACGGUACCUAACCAGAAAGCCACGGCUAACUACGUGCCAGCAGCCGCGGUAAUACGUAGGUGGCAAGCGUUGUCCGGAAUUAUUGGGCGUAAAGCGCGCGCAGGCGGUUUCUUAAGUCUGAUGUGAAAGCCCCCGGCUCAACCGGGGAGGGUCAUUGGAAACUGGGAAACUUGAGUGCAGAAGAGGAAAGUGGAAUUCCAAGUGUAGCGGUGAAAUGCGUAGAGAUUUGGAGGAACACCAGUGGCGAAGGCGACUUUCUGGUCUGUAACUGACGCUGAGGCGCGAAAGCGUGGGGAGCAAACAGGAUUAGAUACCCUGGUAGUCCACGCUGUAAACGAUGAGUGCUAAGUGUUAGAGGGUUUCCGCCCUUUAGUGCUGAAGUUAACGCAUUAAGCACUCCGCCUGGGGAUACGGUCGCAAGACUGAAACUCAAAGGAUUGACGG
rnacentral:rRNA from 1 species